AAUGGGUAUCUAGACAUGUUUUUGAAGCUUUUGAAGAAUCAAAUGUGUAGACUUCUAGUAAUAGUUCGGUAUUUCUGGUUUACCGCAUGCAGUGAUGUCGAAUAGAAAUUCGUUUGUAAUCUUCUACUUGUGUUGUAGGCUAUAAUAGACUGCUGUUGCAGUUAGUUUAAAUCUGCAUGUGCAUAAAAUUCCUUGUGUGUACCUUCAUGCUGUAAUUAAUUAAUUAAUUAAUUAAUUGUCAAUCUAAUGCAGUGGAGUAAAUGGAUGUACAAUUGUCUAAUUAGUUGAUUAUUUGAAAGUUUAUGUGUUAUUGUUAAAUCUACAUACUAACCCAGGUUACUGAGGUACAUUACUGAACUGAGUGUUUAGUUAUGUUGGGCAUAUGUGAGCUGCUGGUAUGAGCUGUUUGAUGCAAUAAUGCAGUGGAGUUGAUAGACUUUGAGAUAAAUAUAAUUUGGUGUUCUGAUGAUGAUAAUAAUUGUAAUUUUCUUUUUAAAUUGGUUAUAGUAUGGUUGGCUUAUUCGUAGUAUGAUAUCAAUAAAGUUAAUGUGCUCUUUGGUUUGUCAUGUUUAACAACAACAACAACAACAACAACAAUAAUAAUAAUAUAAUAAUAAUAAUAUAAUAAUACUAAUGGUACCGGCAUCAUCCUGAUAGGCUUGUGGAGACGGAUGACAUUACUAUGAUGUGGGAUACCACCAUCCCCACUGCAAGGAAGAUCAAAGCCAAUCGUCCAGACAUCUGUCUCAGAAAUAAGAAGACAAACACUUAUCUUCUUAUUGAUAUCAGCUGUCCUGCUGAUGGCAACAUUGGCAAGAAACAUGCUGAGAAGUUGGCGAAGUACAGCGACUUGCGAGUGGAGAUAAGCCGCAUGUGGCAUUGUCGAACACUGGUGGUUCCGGUGGUCUUGGGAGCUUUGGGCACAGUGCACGCAGGUAUUGCACGGUGACUGGACAUUAUUCCAGGUCAUCACAACCUGCAGCACAUACAGAAAACAGUGCUUCUGGGAUCUACUCGGAUCCUUCGUAAAGUCAUGUCUUCUUUCUAGACAGUCGUGAUGGUCUAAGCACUUCUGAAGCAGGGUUUGCUUCCGAGUAUUGGAUGCAUUACGACCGUGUUACCUGCUGCUUGGCUAGUGCAGGUUCCUGCAAGAAAAAUUAAGGGUGUGGUCAAGAAAUCACAAGAAAUUUGUUUUGUUCAAUAUACGUAUUGUUUUAGGCAAUGGUUACAAGGAGAGUCUAUUUGCUUGCUGUAGAAAGUACAUACAGAAGCAAACUGUCGUCUGUUUGUCUUUGCACAUGCGGCAGGGUGUUUACACCUCAAGAUCUUGAAAGAUCCUGGAAGACCACCGCAGCUGCCAAGAUCUUGGUUUGAUUUUGUAAUAUAUGUAGACGGUAGAAGGUAGUUUUAGUUUGUGUUCUUGUACUGACUUAUUUCUAGGUUUUUGUGAUUUAGCUCACUUGGUCGACACAAGUUGUUCCGCAAUUUCAUGCCACGUAGAACCCAAGAUCUCUGUCAACUUUACUGAAAUUUACUCUUGAGUUAACAGAUGCCAUCAAGAAAUGCUCAAGGUCUAAGAACAGCAAGAUAUUCCAAGUUCUUACCAAGAAUGUUUACAAGCAUUGAUUUAUACUUUUCAAACUGUAACGGCUAUGGCCUGUAUAUUCUACCUAUGUGUAGUGAAGACAAAUGUAUGAUGUAUAGACUUACAUGCUGUUGCUCAUAUAGAUAGUCUGGCAUUUUUACUGUUCUAAAAAUUUUAUAGCACGUAUAUAUUGCAGCUAGAUACUACUAGUGAAUUUGUAUUAUUAAUAUCAAGUAUCCUACCUUU